rnacentral:rRNA from 1 species
GUCUUCAUGUCUGGAAUAAUACGCCGAAAGGGGUACGUAAUACCGGAUAUCUUGCUUUUCAUAAGUUAUGCAAGCAAAGGCGGGCCUCUGCAUAUGCUACUGCAUGAAGAGGGGUCUGCGUACCAUUAGCUAGUAGGUGGGGUAAUGGCCUACCUAGGCGACGAUGGUUAGCGGGUCUGAGAGGAUGAUCCGCCACACUGGCACUGGAACACGGGCCAGACUCCUACGGGAGGCAGCAGUGAGGAAUAUUGCGCAAUGGGGGAAACCCUGACGCAGCGACGCCGCGUGAGUGAGGAAAGGCCUUCGGGUCGUAAAGCUCUGUCAAGAGGAAAGAAGUGUACAAUGGCUAAUACCUGUUGUAUUUGACGGUACCUCUAAAGGAAGCACCGGCUAACUCCGUGCCAGCAGCAGC